UGCAUCUAUCCACAUUUUCCUCUCCUUCUCUACCAUUUACACACCAAUACACUGCUCUUAUUUCAAACAGUUGAAAGUUAUGGGUUCAAUUGAGCUCGUAACAGAGACGAUGCAGAUAUCUCCAUUAAUGGAUCGAGUUACCCUGGAGGCGAGAGGAUGCAGAUAUCUGAAUACCAAGGUUGAGAAUCUGCCAUCAAAAUUGCUGAAACUGAAUGUAGGAUUUUCUCAGCUUCACAAAGUUGCAAGGUAAAAAACUCCUCUUUUUUCCAGUUAGUUCGCGUAGUUUUAAUGAGAUUUCAAGAAGUUAAGAUAUCAUUAGCAGGUGCAUUCACAUGUUUACUUUUGAGUAUUACUAUUACUUCAAAUUAUGUGUAGCAAAGAACAGAAAAUAUUACAACGUUGUCCAAUUUAGGCUAUUACAUAACACAAUAUGGUGUUGUCUAUCUGAAUAAAGUUAAUGGGGCUCUGUAAGUCCGUUAUACAGGCGGGCUCUGUAAGUC